AUUGAACGCUGGCGGCAGGCCUAACACAUGCAAGUCGAGCGGAUGAAGGGAGCUUGCUCCUGGAUUCAGCGGCGGACGGGUGAGUAAUGCCUAGGAAUCUGCCUGGUAGUGGGGGAUAACGUCCGGAAACGGGCGCUAAUACCGCAUACGUCCUGAGGGAGAAAGUGGGGGAUCUUCGGACCUCACGCUAUCAGAUGAGCCUAGGUCGGAUUAGCUAGUUGGUGGGGUAGAGGCCUACCAAGGCGACGAUCCGUAACUGGUCUGAGAGGAUGAUCAGUCACACUGGAACUGAGACACGGUCCAGACUCCUACGGGAGGCAGCAGUGGGGAAUAUUGGACAAUGGGCGAAAGCCUGAUCCAGCCAUGCCGCGUGUGUGAAGAAGGUCUUCGGACUGUAAAGCACUUUAAGUUGGGAGGAAGGGCAGUAAGUUAAUACCUUGCUGUUUUGACGUUACCAACAGAAUAAGCACCGGCUAACUUCGUG
rnacentral:rRNA from 1 species